UACGUAGGGUGCAAGCGUUUAAUCGGAAUUACUGGGCGUAAAGCGUGCGCAGGCGGUUUUGUAAGUUUGUCGUGAAAUCCCCGGGCUCAACCUGGGAAUGGCGAUGAAGACUGCAAGGCUAGAAUCUGGCAGAGGGGGGUAGAAUUCCACGUGUGAGCAGUGAAAUGCGUAGAGAUGUGGAGGAACACCGAUGGCGAAGGCAGCCCCCUGGGUCAAGAUUGACGCUCAUGCACGAAAGGCGUGGGG
rnacentral:rRNA from 1 species